rnacentral:lncRNA from 1 species
GCACUAGGUGCUGCGCGUGAGGCCAGGGCUCCCUGGGUCUCUCCCGCCGACAGCCUGUGAUCUUACUGCGUCCCCGCGCGCGUGUUGCCCCCGCGCCCGCUUCUUGAACACUUCAGGCCAGGUUCCAAAGUCCCCUGCCAGGCAGAGCCCAGAGCAAACGGCGUCCUCACGGAGGCCUCUCCAGGCCCCAGCCCACCCCUCUCAGAGACGCCUCGACAGCUUCAACGGGGCCCCACUUCCCCUCGCCAAGACAUGCGCUCCAGAGAUUCCUUAAGCGCUGAGGAGGCCGGGGCACGAGGCUCGGAGCUAGCCCUGAAGGCGACAACUAAAAUACCACCCAGGGCGCACUGUGCAUUCCCCCUCCCAGACUCUAAUUCCAGCACAGAGGCGGAUCCUUGCAUUUCUGUGGACCCGCAGGAAAGUCUGUAAAGGAACCGCGCGCUUGGCUGGGUGCCAGGUCUGGAGUGACUGAAUGGAUGGAACCUGGCCUUCCCUCCCCUGAGCUUCCCGCGCAGCUGGACAGACGCGGCGCACGCGCAGGAGGUCACUGGGCAACACCUGGGGCAAAUGAAACAACUUCCCCCGCACCAGCCACCAAUGAGCGGCUGCGAGUUCCCAACCGUGUGUCCACGCCCCUCAUCCGCAGUUAUCAAAAUCUGACAACUCAUCCUUCUUUAUCUGCCUUGUUGUGAUUGGUUUUCUUUUUUCUUUUCUUUUUUUUUUUUUUUUUUGGACAUGGAGUUUCGCUCUUAUUGUCCAGGCCGGAGCGCAAUGGCGCGAUCUCCGCUCACCGCAAUCUCCGCCUCCCAGGUUCAAGCGAUUAUCCUGCCUCAGCCUCCUGAGUAGCUGGGAUUACAGGCCUGCGCCACGACGCCCGGCUAAUUUUGUAUUUUUAGUAGAGACGGCGUUUCUCCAUUUUGGUCAGGCUGGUGGCGAACUCCCGACCUCAGGUGAUCCACCCGCCUUGGCCUCCCAAAGAGCUGGGAUUACAGGCGUGAGCCACCGCAUCCGGCCUGUGAUUGGUUUUCUAGAAAAUAAAGCAAAACAAAAACAGCCUGUAGGUAGCCUUCCCUCCCAUGGGAGGGUAAUAAUCUUCACUUUUUAAGAGGGGCCUUUAUAGGGGAUGCUGCCGUUCCAACACUUUGACAGACGUGGAGAGAGCUAUAAGGGAAGCAGGAAGUUGUAAUCCUAAACGUUCCUUAACUGGUCUAAUUUAUUAUUCUGUAGUUCCUACCCCUGCCCUCUUACCCACUGACCUAACAAGUUAGCCAGAGAGAUAAAACACAUUCAUGCUUAACAAAGGAUGUGUUAAAACUGACGAAAGGGCCGGGCGCGGUGGCUCACGCUGCUAAUCCCAGAACUUUGGGAGGCCGAGGCGGGCGGAUCACGAGGUCAGGAAAUCGAGACCAUCCUGGCUUAACACAGUGAAACCCCGUCUCUACUAAAAGUACAAAAAAUUAGCCGGGCGUGGUGGGGGCCGCCUGUAGUUCCAGCUACUCGGGAGGCUGAGGCAGGAGAAUGGCGUGAACCUGGGAGGCGGAGCUUGCAGUGAGCCGAGAUUGGUUGGGCCACUGCACUCCAGCCUGGGGCAGAGCAAUACUUCGUCUCAAAAAAAAAAAAAAAAAAAAAAACUAACAAAAGAUUGAUGCCCAGGAGCUCCUACAACUCAGUGAGAAAAAGAUGAACAAUGGAAAAAACAGGGGUAACUGACUUGAAUAGGCCCUUCACAAAAGAGGAAAUAGAAAUGACCAAUAAACAUAUAACAUGAUGCCUAGUAUAUCAUUAGAAAUACAGGAAAUACAAAUUAAAGUCAAUUUUACUUUUUUUCAUUUUAACCAAAUUUAUUUAAACCCCAAGACUUUGUAGACACAGUGGCUCACGCCUGUAAUCUAAGCACUUUGGGAGGCCAAGGUGGGAGGAUCGCUUGAGCCCAGAAGGUUGAGGCUGCAGUGAGCCAUGAUUUGGUUUAUUUUUAAGUAAUUUAUCCCUACUUAAAGACAGAUUACCCUACAUGUGAAAGCUAUGUACAAAAAUCAUCCACUGAUUAGAAGGAUUUUUUUAAGUUAUACAAUUGUCC